GGCAUCAAAGUAGUAGGACUACCCGCUGAACUUAAGCAUAUCAAUAAGCGGAGGAAAAGAAACUAACAAGGAUUCCCCUAGUAACUGCGAGUGAAGCGGGAAAAGCUCAAAUUUAAAAGCCUCCGGGCGUUGUAAUCUAAAGAAGUGUUUUCGGUCGUUGCCUCGGAUAAGUCUCUUGGAACAGAGUGUCAAAGAGGGUGAGAAUCCCGUUCUUGCCGAGCUACCAACGUCUAUGUGAUACACUUUCAAAGAGUCGAGUUGUUUGGGAAUGCAGCUCAAAAUGGGUGGUAAACUCCAUCUAAAGCUAAAUAUUGGCGAGAGACCGAUAGCGAACAAGUACCGUGAGGGAAAGAUGAAAAGCACUUUGGAAAGAGAGUUAAACAGUACGUGAAAUUGUUAAAAGGGAAACGC
rnacentral:rRNA from 1 species